UGUUUGUCUUCUCCUAAAAUCUAUUUCCAGUAAGAAACAGAACCUUUGAGAGGUGAAUAAGGUCCAUCAAAAUGAUGAGCAGAGACCUAAUCUGAUAAGACCGCUGUCCUUCUAGAAAAAGGAGAGAAACUAGGAAAUACAUCAGCGUUAAGACACGUUCAGAAUUUUCAUUUAAAAGUAUGAUCCCGUUCGACCAACAUACAAAUCAAAGCAAGAAAGAUGACAGCCGCCUUAUCUCAAAAACGGGCCAGCUACCCCAGAUUUAUGUGUUUGAAAAUAGCAAGGAGACGAGGAACCAAUAUAGGCAAGCAUACCUUGAAUUGUACUAGGCUGUGUUACAGCCUAGUUAUUACCUUACAUGACUAUAUUUGAAGAUCUGUGGGAGGUUCCUGAAGGCUUUACAACAGUCACGGGGAGGUAAGAAUGAAACUCACUCUACCCUCCACCCCCGAAAUCAUCCUGUUCCCCCAUCAAUGCUGGACUGAGGCA